rnacentral:rRNA from 1 species
AGGAAUAUUGGUCAAUGGGCAGACGCCUGAACCAGCCAAGUCGCGUGAGGGAUGACGGUCCUAUGGAUUGUAAACCUCUUUUGUCAGGGAGCAAAGGGCGCCACGUGUGGCGUUUUGCGAGUACCUGAAGAAAAAGCAUCGGCUAACUCCGUGCCAGCAGCCGCGGUAAUACGGAGGAUGCGAGCGUUAUCCGGAUUUAUUGGGUUUAAAGGGUGCGCAGGCGGAAUGUCAAGUCAGCGGUAAAAUUUCGGGGCUCAACCCCGUCGUGCCGUUGAAACUGGCGUUCUUGAGUGAGCGAGAAGUAUGCGGAAUGCGUGGUGUAGCGGUGAAAUGCAUAGAUAUCACGCAGAACUCCGAUUGCGAAGGCAGCAUACCGGCGCUCAACUGACGCUCAUGCACGAAAGCGUGGGUAUCGAACAGGAUUAGAUACCCUGGUAGUCCACGCAGUAAACGAUGAAUACUAACUGUCCGGGCCGAAUGAGGUCUGGGUGGUACAGCGAAAGCGUUAAGUAUUCCACCUGGGGAGUACGCCGGCAACGGUGAAACUCAAAGGAAUUGACGGGGGCCCGCACAAGCGGAGGAACAUGUGGUUUAAUUCGAUGAUACGCGAGGAACCUUACCCGGGCUCAAACGACGGAUGAAUGUUUUUGAAAGGAGGCAGUCCUACGGGACAUCCGUCGAGGUGCUGCAUGGUUGUCGUCAGCUCGUGCCGUGAGGUGUCGGCUUAAGUGCCAUAACGAGCGCAACCCCCAUCGCCAGUUACCAGCAAGUAAAGUUGGGGACUCUGGCGAGACUGCCGGCGCAAGCUGUGAGGAAGGCGGGGAUGACGUCAAAUCAGCACGGCCCUUACGUCCGGGGCGACACACGUGUUACAAUGGCAGGUACAGAGAGAUGCGAUGCGGCGACGCAGAGCGGAACUUCAAAGCCUGUCUCAGUUCGGAUUGGAGUCUGCAACCCGACUCCAUGAAGCUGGAUUCGCUAGUAAUCGCGCAUCAGCCACGGCGCGGUGAAUACGUUCCCG